rnacentral:ncRNA from 1 species
ACAAUGAUACUUGCGGUUUUGAACGCUUCACAGCAUUGGCCGCCGCGCUAUAAGCAUGGGGCGAGGUGAAAUUCCUAUGA